rnacentral:lncRNA from 1 species
UAUUUUGGCGACUAACGUUUAAUGUAUGGUAAAUAUUAAUUGGAUGUGGUAUGUAAAUAAUAACUUUUUGAUCCUUAUAUUAAGAAUUAUAAGAUUGAGACGAUAGUGAUCGGUCCACUCAAAGUUUAGUAGUCCUCCUAAAAGAAUAGUGUUAUCCAAGGGAGAGAAAUGGUCAAAGAGUUGAUCCAAUAACUAAAAAUCGGAAGCACCAACUAAUUUAUAUUUCCGAAAGCACCACAGCCGUACUCAUAAUUUAUAUUGACAUGUUAUUCUUUCUUCUUAUAUAAAUUUUUCGCUCGACCUAGUCCAUCAUAGACCACACAUCUAAUAUCCAAAUUAAUACAGAAAUAAACUAUUCAAUAUUAUAUUUUUUUGAAUAUAGUUUUUAAGUGUUUCGAUAACAUUCAAAUACUGUAUAAAAUU